ensembl:lncRNA novel transcript
CGCAGUGGCUCACGCCUGUAAUCUCAACACUUUGGGAGGCCAAGGAGAAGAGCAAGUAAAAUGUUGAACAAGAAGACAGAAGUGUCUUCUUGCAGUUCCUGUAAGAAGGCAGAAGUAUUUGCAGAGGGGAGAAUGUGGAAGAAAUAGAGAAUAAUUAUCUCUUACCAAAUGUAAUGGCUUUUGUUGUGUUUUUUCUUUUCUAAU